rnacentral:snRNA from 1 species
AUCGCUUCUCGGCCUUUUGGCUAAGAUCAAGUGUAGGAAUGCCCAGUCCUUUUUUUUUUUUUUUUUUUUUUUUUUUUUUUUUUUUUUGUCUUGUUUGUGAAAUAGCAAACCAAACAAAAGAAACCAGCCUCUAGCAGCAACCCUUGGACUCCAG